UGAAAAAACUCAUGAAAUCAAUCUCAAAUCACGUUCUCUCCAUCUGUCUCUCACUGUUCCUUUUCAUUGAUAUCGUUCGUCGUCUUCGGCUCUAACGGUUGUCGUCGUCAUCUCACUCAAUCGCAAAUCUCUUUUUCCUCAGUUGCGAAUCUCUUCUCCUUCGUCUCCAUCAUAAUUCAAAGCAUCCGAAGAUUCUUUUCCAGGAGGCAACUAUCACGAAUCUCCAUGCGAAUCAGAUUCCUUAAAUUUGCGAUCUUUUUUUUUAUCUAUGUUACUCUAGGUUUGGAUGGGUUGGUUCGAUUUGUUAUCAGCGACGGAGAUGACAGUCAAUCCACCAACAACGACGAACGAUAUCGACAGAGAUGACAACCAAUCCACCGAGGAAGAAGCGAUUCGCGACCGAGGGAGACGAAGCAGAUGUCGAUGAUAGUCAGGGCCGACAACAACGAACGAUAUCGGCGAAGAGGACCCAUGAGAGAGAGAAUGUAUUUUUUUAUAUCAGUUUCGUAUGAGUUUUUCAAUUUGGGGAUUUUUGUUGGUUUAUGAUUUUUGAUCGGUUUAUUGAUUUUAAACCGGUUUGGUUCAAUUAAAAUUUUAAUUAUUUAAAUUGGUUUGAUGAUUGGAUGUUGA